UAGAGAGAGAAGUGGAGAAGUCGACAAAUGCUAAAACUUUACCCAGAUUUUGACUUCUCCCAAAAUUAAAUCCACAUUUUGACUUCUCAAUGGAACUACAAGUUUUUGAAUCAACUGAUAUAGACUCAAUUGCAAGUCGUGAGGCUCCCGAGUAUGAUGAGAGUGAAUUGAUUGGGUUUCACGCUUACUGGGUCAACUUUUGGUGGAAGCAAUGAAGGUAGAUUAGGUUUUGGAGUUGCUGGUACUUCACAAGAUCAUCAUGAUGAUGGUGAUGGCCAGAGUUGAAGGAUUGAUCGUGAAAAUGGUCUCAUUUUGGGGGCCGAGAGAGAUGACCUAGUAAAUAUUGGUGAGCGUGAAAGUGAUCUUGCAUAUAUGUAUGACCAAGUGAAUUUUGACCGCAUACACCAGGACAAGAAUCUGCACAUGGAAAUGGAAUUGCAUUUGGAAACUGAAGAUGAAGUUGCUUAUUCUUGGUUAAUGAGAAAUAGGAAAACUGGUGAAUUUAUUAUUGAUGUUGUUGAAGUAUUUAUUUGGCUGAAAAUCAAAUUGUUUGGAAGGAAUUUUUUUUGUAUACUUGAGAGAAUUGGUUGAAAACUGGUAUACUACUUGUCUUUUUUUGUUUUUGUUUUUGUAAUCUUGGUGACAAUUAUGGUGUCUAAUCUUGUUUUUGUAAACUUGUAGAAAUGGUUAAUGAAUUUAAAAAUUCUCUAUGUUUUACAAAUCAACAUAAGCAGAACCUGUUUCAAUAUUUAAUUGAAUAGUCAAUAUUUUGUUUCAAUAAUAAUACUUAUAAUGCCAUGUUAAGUAUGUUUUUUGUUUGUUUGUUAAUGAAUGAUUAUCGUGUGUGGGUCAAAUGGAGUCCAAUACUUAUAUAUAUAUAAAUAUAUAUGGAGACCACUCAU